rnacentral:rRNA from 1 species
CUAUAACGGUCCUAAGGUAGCGAAAUUCCUUGUCGGGUAAGUUCCGACCUGCACGAAUGGCGUAAUGAUGGCCAGGCUGUCUCCACCCGAGACUCAGUGAAAUUGAACUCGCUGUGAAGAUGCAGUGUACCCGCGGCAAGACGGAAAGACCCCGUGAACCUUUACUAUAGCUUGACACUGAACAUUGAGCCUUGAUGUGUAGGAUAGGUGGGAGGCUUUGAAGUGUGGACGCCAGUCUGCAUGGAGCCGACCUUGAAAUACCACCCUUUAAUGUUUGAUGUUCUAACGUGGACCCGUGAUCCGGGUUGCGGACAGUGUCUGGUGGGUAGUUUGACUGGGGCGGUCUCCUCCUAAAGAGUAACGGAGGAGCACGAAGGUUGGCUAAUCCUGGUCGGACAUCAGGAGGUUAGUGCAAUGGCAUAAGCCAGCUUGACUGCGAGCGUGACGGCGCGAGCAGGUGCGAAAGCAGGUCAUAGUGAUCCGGUGGUUCUGAAUGGAAGGGCCAUCGCUCAACGGAUAAAAGGUACUCCGGGGAUAACAGGCUGAUACCGCCCAAGAGUUCAUAUCGACGGCGGUGUUUGGCACCUCGAUGUCGGCUCAUCACAUCCUGGGGCUGAAGUAGGUCCCAAGGGUAUGGCUGUUCGCCAUUUAAAGUGGUACGCGAGCUGGGUUUAGAACGUCGUGAGACAGUUCGGUCCCUAUCUGCCGUGGGCGCUGGAGAACUGAGGGGGGCUGCUCCUAGUACGAGAGGACCGGAGUGGACGCAUCACUGGUGUUCGGGUUGUCAUGCCAAUGGCACUGCCCGGUAGCUAAAUGCGGAAGAGAUAAGUGCUGAAAGCAUCUAAGCACGAAACUUGCCCCGAGAUGAGUUCUCCCUGAGACUUAAAGUCUCCUGAAGGAACGUUGAAGACGACGACGUUGAUAGGCCGGGUGUGUAAGCGCAGCGAUGCGUUGAGCUAACCGGUACUAAUGAACCGUGAGGCUUAACCUU